UCUAAUCGCUGGAAGAGUCUUUUGUGUAAACAUUUAUUAAAAAAGUUGAAAAGAAUUAAUAAAUAAAUCAAAUUAAUAUAAACAGCCAGCUGGCGUUUUGAGCGGCUUAAACUUUAUUUUGAGUGAGGAAAUUGUUCUAGCCUAUAACGUAAGGGAAGAAGGCCCUUAGGACCCACAAAGAAUUUUUUGCAGCUUUGCUAGAAUGUAUUCCGCCUGGCGAUGAGCCCCCGAAAACACUGUGCGGAAGGCAAUGCAAAGGAUGAAGAAAAGGGUGUCUAAGAAGAAGUGUCUUGCCAAAAACCAGGAGUAGGCUAAGCAUCAUAUAAUUAAAAAUUAUUCGUUAUAAUGAAA